AGUUAUGGAUUGCCACAGGCAUGCAUGAACCAAAGGAGAGAUGAAACAUUAAUGUAGGACAAGCUUGUUUUUAUAUAUAAAACAGAAAGCUUUUUUUUUAAAAAAAAUUACGUGUGAAUUUCUAGGCUGUUGGUAUUUUGCCUUGAUCAAAUUUGGGGCAAUUGCUUUGAGGAUUGGAUGAGUCUUAAUGGCUAUAGCUUGCCUGAAACAAGGCUUGUUUGGGCUAUUAAUGUUAUGAAUUCCUCUCUGUGUUUUUUAGGCACAGGCUCAAGCAUUAAAGAUGCCAGCUUGGGUCCUGAAAUGCAGUGGUGGGUGAAGCUUUUAUUUUGCAUUCACUCUUUUUCCUGGCAGCCCCUCAAGCUAUCCUGAACAGGCUGGGCUAUGAUGUGAUGGGAAACAGAUAAAAACUGAGCAUGGGUACCUGCCUAUUCCAUUCAGGAGAGUCCCCUUACCUGAGACAGGCUUUUGGGUGGUCAGUGGGCUGCCCAUCCCGUUCUGCUUGCUCUUCUAUGGAUUUGAACAGUCCAUUUUUAUAAUCUUGCACCUCACAAUUUGCCUUUUAAGAAUAGGUCUUAAAAGUACAGUAACAGUACAACUGACUGAAUUUUAAAAAAAUUACUACUCUACUGUUACCAAUGCUGAAUAGCAACAGAAUAGAAUAGCCAUAUAAAAAGUUAGGAUUGCAGCCUUUGUUGAAAUGAUUCACAUCUUUUUUUCUCUAAUAGAUUGCACUACGCAUGUGCUUAGGUAAUAUUGGCUUAACAGAACUGUGACCACUGAAUUGUCAAACCUCAGAUAUCACAUGCAAGAAGCCAAAGCUUACUAAAACUACAAAGAGUGCAUUAUUUUAGAGAGCUACUGAUUGGGCAUGUCAGAAGCACAACCAAGGCACAACUUCCGAGUCCCAACUCUCACAUACCUGCAAUGGAAUGGAUGUUUUGACCUGAAAUGUGACAGCAUCACUUCAGGAAACAGUGUGAAAUGCCAAAAGAAGGCCACUUUUAGACACAUGCCUGCUUAAUAAAGAGGUGGACUCUGAUCAAAAACCCUACAGAAUUGCUGGCAGAUCCAGUUUGUGAUGAAGGCAACUAUUUCUCCCGAGCUGGUUUCAACAUUGCAAGAUGGAAGUGAAAUUGACAAGACAUGAGUGCAAUGAAGAGUCAAAGGCACUGGGUGAAUAGAAACAGGACACAAUUUUAUUAAUAAGAAACUUGUAUUCAGAAGCAUUUGCAACUAUGAAGGCAGAACUGUAUUAGACUGGGUUCUCUCUCAGCCCUACCUGGAGAUGCCAAGGUUCGAAAAACAGGGAUCUUCUGCAUGCAAAGAAGAUGCUGUACCACGGAUCCCUUCCCCUGGGGUGAGAGAUCAUGCACAUGAAAUGUGGAAAUGGGGUGGAACCGACUUCCUUGUGAGCAGAUGUGACAGGGACAUGAACUAGAUUUAUACUGAUCUGUCUAUCCAUUGAAACACUCUACAAAGUGUUACGGAAAUGCUGAAUAUUGCUUUGAGGCAUCCCAUAGUCUUCUUAUGUGAAUAGGCAGAGGAGGCAAGGGAAGGCUCAAUAUGAUCCCUCAAUUGAUUGGCUAUCAGUAUGGCAUAUAAUGGCUUUUGCAGUUUUUCUUGUGCUAACACAUCUCCAGAAAAUGCCUCUUUAACCCAUUUGAAUGUAAAUAACAUAAAGAAUGUGAAGAAAAUGGAGUAAUAUAGUUUAUAAAAAUACAAAAUGCAAUUUUAAGUUACAGUGAAGUGAAUAAAAUAUGGAUCCAAAAUUUGCUCUUUUUUUAUGAAACUCAUUCAUCUUACUAAUGCUUUAUUGGCUAUGUGAGUGUUUCAGCGCAUAAGAAAAAUUGAUCCCAGGAGCUGUCUUUCUAUAAAUGCUUUGGUGAUCUCUUUU